GACGAACGCUGGCGGCGUGCUUAACACAUGCAAGUCGAACGGAAAGGCCCUGCUUUUGUGGGGUGCUCGAGUGGCGAACGGGUGAGUAACACGUGAGUAACCUGCCCUUGACUUUGGGAUAACUUCAGGAAACUGGGGCUAAUACCGGAUAGGAGCUCCUGCUGCAUGGUGGGGGUUGGAAAGUUUCGGCGGUUGGGGAUGGACUCGCGGCUUAUCAGCUUGUUGGUGGGGUAGUGGCUUACCAAGGCUUUGACGGGUAGCCGGCCUGAGAGGGUGACCGGCCACAUUGCGACUGAGAUACGGCCCAGACUCCUACGGGAGGCAGCAGUGGGGAGUAUUGCACAAUGGGCGGAAGCCUGAUGCAGAGACGCCGCGGGCGGGAUGACGGCCUUCGGGUUGUAAACCGCUUUCGCCUGUGACGAAGCGUGAGUGACGGUAAUGGGUAAAGAAGCACCGGCUAACUACGUG
rnacentral:rRNA from 1 species